CCUACGGUGCGCUGCAGUGGGGAAUAUUGCACAAUGGGGGAAACCCUGAUGCAGCGACGCCGCGUGAGUGCAGAAGUAUCUCGGUACGUAAAGCUCUAUCAGCAGGGAAGAAAAUGAGGGUACCUGACUAAUUAGCACCGGCUAACUACGUGCCAGCAGCCGAGGUCAUACGAAGGGGGCAAGCGGUAUGCGGAUAUGCUGGGUGGAACGGGAGCGGAAGAGUGAGCGCGAGGUGGGUGUGAAAUCGCGGGGCUGAACCCGGGACGGGCUUUGGAAACUGGGCGGCUGGAGUGCAGGAGGGGUAAGCGGAAUGCCUAGUGUAGCGGUAAAAUGCGUAGAUAUUAGGAGGAACACCAGUGGCGAAGGCGGCUUACUGGCCUGUAACUGACGCUGAGGCUCGAAAGCGUGGGGAGCAAACAGGAUUAGAUACCCCAGUAGUC
rnacentral:rRNA from 1 species